rnacentral:lncRNA from 1 species
GACUCAGGACAGAGGACAAGCAGACUGUCCUGGUUUAGGGUGUGCUUGUGACUGCACCUCCACGGGGCUCAUCAGAGAUGUCUUCACAUCAUGUGCAGAAGGAGGUAGCACCAGCGAUGAGUGGAUGGAUGCUGGAGGGUAUCUGUAGCUCUCCACCACUGCCCACUGGGAUCGAUCACUCUGCUUUACCCUGGAACCAGUCGAAAGCCAGAUCACAUCCUCCAUGUUGCAGGGCAGCUCAGAGCGUUUGGACCCUCUCAGGUUCAGGAGCAAAGGAAUGGCGUAGUGAGACUAAAAACUCGUCCCAGUAGACUGGAGAUGUCUGCUUUUGGUAAACACAGCCUCAACUAAGCAUGGUGGUACAUACACUCAGGAAGUUGAGGGAGGAGGAUCACAAGACCCAGGCCAACCUGGGCUAUGUAGCAGAACCCUUUGUUAAAAAGGUCUAAUGAGAAUAGGGGUUGGGGAGGUGACUUGGUGGCUAAAGUACUUGCUGCACAGGUGUGGAGACCUGAGUUGAGAAGCCAGCGCUGGCAGGAUGAACAACAGAUCUGUUAGAGUAGGCAGGGCCAACUGCUGAGCGCUAGGUUCAGUGAGACUCUGUCUUAAAAAAAGAAGAAAGAA